rnacentral:rRNA from 1 species
GGCGAGUGAAGCGGCAAGAGCUCAAAUUUGAAAGCUGGCCCCUUCGGGGUCCGCGUUGUAAUUUGCAGAGGAUGCUUCGGGAGCGGUCCCCAUCUAAGUGCCCUGGAACGGGCCGUCAUAGAGGGUGAGAAUCCCGUCUGGGAUGGGGUGCCCGCGCCCGUGUGAAGCUCCUUCGACGAGUCGAGUUGUUUGGGAAUGCAGCUCUAAAUGGGUGGUAAAUUUCAUCUAAAGCUAAAUACUGGCCGGAGACCGAUAGCGCACAAGUAGAGUGAUCGAAAGAUGAAAAGCACUUUGAAAAGAGAGUUAAACAGCACGUGAAAUUGUUGAAAGGGAAGCGCUUGCGACCAGACUCGCUCGCGGGGUUCAGCCGGCCUUCGGGCCGGUGUACUUCCCCGCGGGCGGGCCAGCGUCGGUUUGGGCGGCCGGUCAAAGGCCCUCGGAAUGUAACGCCCCCCGGGGCGUCUUAUAGCCGAGGGUGCCAUGCGGCCAGCCCGGACCGAGGAACGCGCUUCGGCUCGGACGCUGGCAUAAUGGUCGUAAGCGACCCG